rnacentral:lncRNA from 1 species
GGAGCAGAAGGGGCUAGUGCCCCAGAUCAGGCCCGGGUAGCCUGCUUCCUAUGUACCCCAGUCUCAGGUUCCGCGCAAUUGGAUUGGGGCAGGCGCUGUGUUCCACUCACCAGAGGUCUUAGGAUCCCGUGGGGAGUCCUGUGUGGGCCCUUGUGGGUGUUGGGCAAGACUCUGCUGGCAAGGUAGCCCGGGGAUCGAGUGGAGCGGAAGGGGCUUGUGCCCCAGAUCAGGCCCGGGUAGCCUGCUUCCCUAUGUACCCCAGUCUCAGGUUCUGCGCGAUUGGAUUGGCGCAGGCACUGUGUUCCACUCACCAGAGGUCUUAGGAUCCCGUGGGGAGUCCUGUGUGGGCCCUUGCAGGUGUUGGGCGAGACUCUGCUGGCAAGGUAGCCCGGGGCUCCUAGGUUGAGGGUCUUAAAGCCCACCCCCAUAGUGACACACCUAUUCCAACAAGUCCACACCUACUCUAACCUUGUAAUAGUGCCAUUCUCUGGGCCAUGCAUAUACAAACCAUUACAAUGGGGUACCUAGAAGGUGGACUGUGAGCAUGACCACUCUACUCUUGCCUAUGAUUCCACCUGGUGCAUAGCAUUUGACCAGGUAUUACUUGUGCAAUUAUUGAGCAAUAGAUAACUGAUAUUUCACUCACUCUCUCUGUUACCUCUCUAAUGGUUUAUAAUUCAUAUUAAGUAUCAUUUUUAAGUCUAUGUAAAGAAAGUGCUUAAACCAAAUACAUUUCAUAAAACAAUGAUAUUAUAGUGAUGUCUACAGGUUUAGUAAAUCCCUACUUAAAAGCAUAUAAAAUAUUCAAUACUCUUCUGACUUUAAUUAAUUAUCCUAAGCACUAGGCUCUUCAUCUUUACAUUUUCCUCCCUCACAUUUUGUUCACAACAACGUGUACCUAACAAAGUAAGUUAUAGAAGCCUUUUGAAGGAAAAAAGAAAAGCUAAGAAGCCAUAUAACCUUUCCAAUCAGCUUCUUAUUCUUCCUUUAAUGAUUCAUUAUAUGAAGCAGAAUGUAAAUACAUUUAGGAAAUUUUCUGAUUAUCAAAACCAGAUUUCAUCUUGUUAAUUGUAUCCCCAUCAUCGAUUUAGGAGUCAGCCUUCCCAAGCAGUAUUAUAUUAAGAUAAUGAGACAAUAUGCAUAUGCAAAUUGCUCAAAUGAAAAAUUAUGUUCUUGGACACAUUAAACAGAAGAUAUUAGAUAUAGUGACAAUUUGACAUAUGUAAUAUCUUUGUUUAUCUAGACAAGCCAUGCAAAAUAAAAUUCACCAUCACACUCGGGUAUGCAAAUUACCUACAUAAAAAGUGCAGGGAGGUGGAAGGCAAUCCCAGUGACUUUAUUUGACAGUAGAAGAAAGAAAAAGCAGUGUUCUUUUGGUUUGUUUUCAAUUUGGAUGUGGACAAUUUCCAGAGUCUUCCUUCUGCCAACAGAUCAAACUGCCAACCUUGCUGGACUUGGCUCCUGUAUCCCACAUGGAAAAGCUGCCAAGACUCUGCCUGCAGCCAUGCAGGUCCCCACUCUGCACUCUCUCCUCCCCUAGCCCCCCUAUUGCAGGGCUCUCUAUUGGUUCUCUGUGCCUUAGGUAAGUGGCUCGUCCUCAAGAAACAUUCUUAAGGAAGGUCCAGGAGACUGGUCUAGUGAAGCUCAUGAGGACCUGAGUUCAGGUCCCAGAUUCCAUACAAGAAGCUGGAAGUGCUAGCCCCCAGUUGUAGUCCUGGUGCUGGGGAGGCAGCGACAUGAAGAUUAUUUGGAUUCACUAGCAAGAUGGCCUAAGCCUAGUAUAAUUGCUUAGUGCUAAGUUAUAGUGAGAAACCCCACUGCAAAAACAAAAUCAAAGUGACUGGUGGCAUCAGCAUCUAUGUGGGAGGCAGAAGUAGAAGGAUCUUUGUGAGUUUGAGGUUGGCCUGUUCUACACGGCUAGUUCUAGGACAGACAGGGAUAGAUCAUGAGAUCCUAUCUCAAUCAAUCAAUCAACCAACUAAUAAAAAAAAAAAAACAUCGGCAGGAUAGGUGGCUUACCAUAAGAGGUUGUUCUCUGCUCUUAAUGGGGGACUCGCACAAAUGCAGACCCAUGUGCACAAGGGAGUACCUACCAUCUCCACACACUCUGACCCUCACCGUAAAAAGAGAAUUACUUUUCUUUUCUAUGCUAUUUUGCCUGAAAGUCUCUCUGGUAACCUUGGGCUCCUUAGGCUUUCUGGGGCAAUGUUUUGCAAGGUACUUACAGCUUCUCCAAAAGUUGCCCCCUGGGGCCUGGCUAAACCCAGGAGAGAAGUGUUAGAGAAAAAUAACUAUCCAGAAACUGACAAGAAAAUGUAUUUUACAUGACUGCCUUAUUCUAUGUUAAAAUACAUUACCAUAACUCUGUGGAGGUGAUAUUAGCAGUUCAGUAAUUUAGCCAAUGUCAUCUAGUUAAGUGGUAGUUGUAGACUUAAGCAUUUUCUAUUGCAUCCAAGGUCCAAGAAACACACUCCACCAUAGGAAAGCAUAAUGUUUUGAAUCUUUAGACUCAGCAUCCUGGUACUGUAAAGCACCCACAGGUUCACUGUCUGACCACGUGGAAUCCAUAGGUCAUUAGCCUGGGGCC